rnacentral:rRNA from 1 species
UACGUAGGCAGCGAGCGUUGUUCGGAAUUACUGGGCGUAAAGAGUGUGUAGGCGGUGUUCCCAGUCUGUUGUGAAAUCUCCCGGCUCAACUGGGAGGGUGGUCGCGAGACGGCAGGGCUUGAGGCUCGGUGAGGGGCGUGGAAUUCCGGGUGGAGCGGUGAAAUGCGUAGAGAUCCGGAGGAACACCGACGGCGUAGGCAGCGCCCUAGACGAGACCUGACGCUCAGGCACGAAAGCGCGGGGAGCGAACAGG